rnacentral:rRNA from 1 species
GUGUUAGCCGCCGCGGUAAUACGGAAGGUUCAGGCGUUAUCCGGAUUUAUUGGGUUUAAAGGGAGCGUAGGCCGUCUGUUAAGCGUGUUGUGAAAUGUAGAUGCUCAACAUCUGAAUUGCAGCGCGAACUGGCAGACUUGAGUGUGCGCAACGUAGGCGGAAUUCGUGGUGUAGCGGUGAAAUGCUUAGAUAUCACGAAGAACUCCGAUUGCGAAGGCAGCUUACGGGAGCACAACUGAAGCUGAAGCUCGAAAGUGCGGGUAUCGAACAGGAUUAGAUACCCUGGUAGUCCGCACGGUAAACGAUGGAUGCCCGCUGUUGACCCACCUGGGCCAGCGGCCAAGCGAAAGCAUUAAGCAUCCCACCUGGGGAGUACGCCGGCAACGGUGAAACUUAAAUGAAUUGACGG